rnacentral:lncRNA from 1 species
UUAACUUAUGGGUUUCUUGUUUCCCCUCGUAUUAGGGUUUAUCUUUGCCUAUCACUGGAAAAUAGCAAAUUCUCGUUUCACAGUUGUUGUUGUGAUGCAAAAAGGUUUUAGCUUUCAAUCUGGUUCUUCUUAGAGAACGAAACCCUCUGCUCUGCUUAGAUUCUAUUUGAUGAUAUCUGCUCUCAUCUGCUUUGAAGAAAGAAAAAAAUCAAAACUUUAUUUUAAGAUCUCAGCAUUGCAAUUAAACCAGACAUGACUUAUGCUUUCUUCUUCUUACUUGCUGAGUUUCUGUUUGCAGGUCCAGAGGCUUGUUUAGCUUAUGAAGGAUGAAAAAUUCUCAGUUCUUGUCUCUUAUCUGGUAAGCUGAGUUCUGUCUUCACAGUCUCUAUUUUU